rnacentral:tRNA from 1 species
GCGCCAGUGCCUCAACGGAUAGAGCAUUUGACUACGGAUCAAAAGGUUAGGGGUUCGAAUCCCUUCGAGCGUGC